rnacentral:rRNA from 1 species
ACGGGGGGAGCAAGCGUUGUUCGGAUUUACUGGGCGUAAAGGGCGCGUAGGCGGUCAGCACAAGUCAGUUGUGAAAUCUCCGGGCUUAACUCGGAAAGGUCAACUGAUACUGUGCGACUAGAGUGCAGAAGGGGCAACUGGAAUUCUCGGUGUAGCGGUGAAAUGCGCAGAUAUCAGGAGGAACACCGGUGGCGAAGGCGCUCAUCUGGCCCAAUACUGACGCUGAGGCGCGAAAGCUAGGGGAGCAAACGGGA